rnacentral:rRNA from 1 species
UACAGGGGGGUGCAAACGUUGCUCGGAAUCAUUGGGCGUAAAGCGCACGUAGGCGGUCUGUUAUGUCGGAUGUGAAAGCCCUCGGCUUAACUGAGGAAGUGCAUCCGAAACUGGCAGGCUAGAGUACCAAAGAGGGUCGCGGAAUUCCCGGUGUAGAGGUGAAAAUUUCGUAGAUAUCGGGAGGAACACCGGUGGCGAAGGCGGGCGAC